rnacentral:rRNA from 1 species
AGCAGUCGCCACGGUAAUACGUAGGUGGCAAGCGUUGUCCGGAAUUAUUAGGCGUAAAGGGCUCGCAGGCGGUUUCUUAAGUCUGAUGUGAAAGCCCCCGGCUCAACCGGGGAGGGUCAUUGGAAACUGGGAAACUUGAAUGCAGAAGAGGAGAGUGGAAUUCCACGUGUAGCGGUGAAAUGCGUAGAGAUGUGGAGGAACACCAGUGGCGAAGGCGACUCUCUGGUCUGUAACUGACGCUGAGGAGCGAAAGCGUGGGGAGCGAACAGGAUUAGAUACCCCUGUAGUCCCUGUCUCUUAUAC